GGUCCAGCAGUUGUCAGCUAUCCAGGCUGUGUGGUGCCCGAGAUCGUGUUACACUGUUGGAAGAGUAAACACUGCCUUACUAAGGGUCGGCUCCCAGCACUGUUUUGGUGUCUGGUGCUGAGUACUUUCAGGCAGUAUUGCAUCCCUGAGAGUGGAAUGACUCCUUGUGGAGUUGGUCCUGGUCUGGGUGCAAACAAU
rnacentral:snoRNA from 1 species